CUGCAGCUCUGAAUCCACUGAAUCAUAGUCGAGCUCCGCAUCACGCAGUGCUGUCAGAAGCCGAUCCUUCUCCUUCUCAAGCGCAGCUAGGGAGUCGCUGAUCCUCUCCGCCCUCUCAAAGUCCUCGGCCUCGCAGGCCUCCUCCAGCUCCCUCUCCAAAUCCUUGUGCCUGGAUGCCACUGAAGUCGCCUCCUCUGCCACCUUCCUCCGCCGACCUGCCAGCUGCCUCUUCCUGGCAACCACAGCAGCAGCCCUCUGCUGGAUGGAGUCGAGCUUGCUGGAGAUUUGGGAUCUGAGAAGAGCCAACCUCUCCUCGAUCCCGACCGCUGCUGCGACUCCAGCCACUUCAUCCUCUUUCUGAUCAUCUUCCUCCUUCGCCUCCUCCUCUACCUCACGAGGAGGAUUGGUAUCCGGAUCCACCACCACCUCUGCGUCUACCUCAUCGCCGUUAGCAUAGGCGUCAACUUGCUGCUCCGGGAACUGGUCAGGCGUAGGAGGAGCGGCAGGUUGCGGCGAAGCAUCCAGGAAGGCAAUACUACUAGCGGAGAACGUAGCAGCGGUAGAGGAACGAACUGUGGCGGGAGGCGAAGGCGGCGCGGGCUGGGGCGAGCGGCCGUACCCGAUGCGCACGGCCCUCUUCUUCUUCCGGAGCGACGAGGAGGACGGCUGCCGGGAGAGAGCAGCAGCGGGGGCGGGGGCAGGCGACGGCGACGGCGCCAGGGCGAGCGCGGCCGGCGCCGCGUGGCCCCGAUCCUCGCCCUGCGGGAGCGGCGGCUGCUCGAGCGUGAGCGGCUCCUGCGGGGCGAGGAGGGUGAGAUCGGAGAAGAGGUCCUCGUCGAGCGGCGGCGGCGCGGAGGAGGAGGCGGCUGCGCCGGCGUCGGCAUCGGCGUCGGGGCGCGGCGCGGGAUCGGGUUCGGGAACAGGGGCGGGGGCGGGGGCGGGGGCCGCCUCCUCGGCGGCGGCCGGCUCGGGCGCGAAGAGGACCAUGCCCUCGAAGAGCGAGCUGCCGUCGUCCCCGCCGCCCCACGCGUCGGCGCCGCCGUCCUGGGACGCCAUCGCCGCCGACGCACUCCUGACCAACAACCUGUUGCAACCUUGUGACGGAUCCGGGACGACGAGGGCGGAGUGGACUCAGCAAUGGAUGGGCGGCGCCGCCGCUGCGUACUAGUAGAUGAUUAUUAGGAUCAUGGAGUGAUUCGGGUGGCAAUCGCGCGGCCUCCGACUCCGAGUCUGUUAACUUUGUCGCGUACCACGAAACUGGAUCGGAUUGGGGAGGACGAUGAGCUGCUCGCGCUGCGUCUUCUCGGCAAAACUGUGGGCACGACGAUGCCUUGCGUGGAAGCAGCAAAGCAAGAGUUCAGAACCACUUAACUCCAUAUCUAUCCGAAUUCUCGCAGCAAUCAAAGAACUUUCCAACGAAGCCCUAAUUCCGAACUUGAACAAGAAAAGAUCCGGAAGCAAUCCUCGCUUUCCAACGAAGCCCCAAUGAUGAUUGAAUGCCUGUUUCUUAUAUAUUAAAGACGCACCGUUCCUCGCAAUGCUAUUCGUCCACGACAGUAAAAAAAAAUAUCAACCAUUGGAUAUACGUGGUGCGGUCCGCAUCGUCCGACCAGCACUGCCUUCCGCGCAUAGCUUCUGAGCACGCUGCGAUUCGAUUUGUGGGAACUUUCUAGGCUAUGUUUAGAUAGGGGAAAAGUUGGGCGAAAAAGUCACAUUGGUCACUGUAGUAUAAUGUAGUAUUUUUUGUUUGUUUGUGGUAAAUAUUAUUCUACCAUGACCUAACUAGGCUCAAAAGAUUCGUCUCGCAACGUACAUCAAAACUAUUGCAAUUAGUUUUUUAUUUAACUACAUUUAGUACUCCAUGCAUGUGUCAUUUACUAUAUUUAAUGUUUCGAUGUGAUAGAGGAUGUGAUGGAAAGUUUGGAAAUUUUGUGGGAUCUAAACACACCCCUAGUGUUCUAUUACUGUACCUUGUAGCUAGGAAAAAUCUUCCCUGGUAAAGGAUCCAAGCAUUGCCAUCCCUCGAUGCUUCCUUACGCUUGAAUUCCUAGCGGAUGCCGAAAGUGGCGGCAGCGGCGGCGCGGCGGACCGAUAGCUCCACAGUCAGGAGGAGGCUCGCUACCUUCGACCAUAGCACCUGAUCCUCCUUCCCUUCCUCACACUCUUCGGGCGCCGAGCAGAGCAAGAUGGCCAGGUGCGCCUCCAUCGAACCCUCCCGUUCCCAACCUCCCUUCCCCUCUCCUCCAACGCCCCGAAGGCCCAAGAGCCUUGCCACCGGCCGGCCGCACAGGACUGCUCGUCCAAUGCUCCAGCAUGCGGCUAGGGGUCGCGAGGAGCAUGGGCCCGGCGUGGCUCUGGCCACGGGGAGAGGCUAGGGGUCGCGAGGAGCAUGGGCCCGGCGUGGCUCUGGCCACGGGGAGAGGCGCGGCUCCGGCUGCUCGAGCCAUCACGGCUCGGAGCGCGAACCCCCCCAGGCCACAGCGUCCCCGCCGGCCGCCGCUUUGACAAGCCAUGGUACUAGCGUUCUCCAUCCUCCAUCAUUUGGCGUGGCUGCCUCCGUGCCUGUCACGUUGCAAUCGAGGCUGUCUCCCUGUCCAAGUAGGUCCGGCGGAUCUCCCGCACCGUCCGCCUGACCAUCGCUCUCCGCCGCCGUCUCGCCGCGCGGGCUCCUCCUGCCUGCCUUCGCGCUCCCCGCAUCUUUUGAGGCCUAUGCUUGAUUUGGUUCCUCUGUUCUGUAUUUUCAUUUUUUCUAUGAUUUAUAAUGCAUGCUGUAUGCGUAUUGACUGGAGAGCUAUUGGUAGCAGGUAUUAGCAACUUUCUUUCCUUUUAUUAAUCUAGCUGUCCUUUGUUCCCAUACAUGUUCUGGUCGCACCAAAUCCAGGUUUAUAAAUGUGAAAUUGCAGGUUAUCUAACACACACUGUAUUUAUGACUUAUGUUAAGAAGUCCUGUUAGUUUAGAGAUUAGUUUGCUAUUACUCUCAAGGGUUGGAGUCCUAUGUUUGAUUGAUUCUACUUCACAUAAACCUGUCACAUUAUGUUCAGUUAAUUACUUCUUUGAUACUAUGAAAAAGAUAUAGCAUACCAUUGUAGAUGCUGCUUGUGCUUCUUUCUGCUAUAGCUGAUGCUGAUAUAAAUGCUCCUAGAUACAUACCCUUGCAUAUUUUUGCUGGCAGUUCUUGUCAUGUGCUUGUGAUGAUGUGAUUUAAGGAUCUGAUUAUGAAAGCUCUAAUUCUUAACAUUUAUAUGGUUAAGACAUAUUGCUUUCUGCAUAAAAGUAUCCAUCUUCUUUCUAAUCUAAUUUUUGACUGAAUAUUUACUGUCCAUAUACUGUUUGUUGGAUACUCCUAGAAUGAAUAUUUCAAUUAAUGUAAUGGCUAUAUGCAGAGUCUAUGGCCCUCCUAACCUUCUCUUGGAAAUGAAGCUGCUGGGCCAAGGGUGUAAUGGCUACAUGCAGAGUCCAUGUCCCUCCUGACCUUUUCUGGGAAAUGAAGCUGCUAGGCCAAAGUUGCGUGGCUUAUCUUGAAGAAUUUAGUCCAUUAAACUACAUAUACAAGGUAUGUUGCCAAUCGACAGAAUUCUUACAUACCUCUGCUGCUCUUACGAUCUUUAUAGUCCAGUGUUUUAAAGUCAAUGGGCAUCAGAAGGGACUCUUUCAAGGUAAGUUUAGGCUCAGCUAAUUUAAGUGCUCUUCGAUAAAGAUUCUUUACAGCUCUCAAGCUUUUCAUGGCACCUCGGCAAUAGUGAUAUCAAAUGUUCUGAAAAAUGUGUUUACCUAGAAGAGUAAAUUCACCAGUCUUGACUCAUGUGCUACAAAGUUUCAGCUAUUUCUGUUAACCUUCAGAGAAUAGUAAGUAGGUUCAUCGAUUGAUUAGGUAUGUAAAUUUCUCACAUGUACGAACAAUGCUCACAGCUUGUUUGGUCAAUUGACCAAGAAAGCUGCCAUUUAUUUCAAAAUAGAGCAAAGGCUGCGUCAUCUUCAUAAUAUAAUACUUAUUCUUUCAAAAAUUUAUGUUCACUCAGUUAUUCUGAUUUCCAAAGUGAAAUAAGUGCAGCACCUCAUAUUUCCACUCUAGUGUGUGCAGGUCAGCUGGUACAUGUGUUCAGACACAAGCAUGGAUUAUCUCCAAUAAAGAGAGGUUGCCAUUUGAAAAGGAUCUACAUCACUACAUGGUGGUGCAAGAAGUGAUCCUGUCCAGUCCAGCAAUGAGAAGGCUUCGUGGCGGUCGCGGACUCAUCUGCGCGGUUACUAUAUUUUUGGAGGGGGGCAACAACAACCAUGCAGCUCGCAGGCUCCGAGCCUGGGCGGGAAGGCGCCGCAGCGGGCGGCCUCAACCAUCGCGCCACAGACGCGUCUGCUAUGUAAAAUUAAUAUUGUUUUGUAUUUAAAAUAUAUUAUGUUAAACCUAUAUAUCCUAGCUAAUAAAUUGCAAAUUAUUCAAAAUGUGCC